rnacentral:ncRNA from 1 species
AUCUUCAGGGCGGGGUGUGAGUCCCCACCGGCGGUAAAGCCCGCGAGCAGUAGCAGAUCCGGUUAGAUUCCGGAGCCGACAGUAUAGUCUGGAUGAAAGAAGAUG